UAUCAGUCCCCUCGCGACGACAAGCUGUGAACCCCGUCAGGCCCGGAAGGGAGCAGCGGCAGCAGUAGCCUCGGGCGCCGGGGUGUGGCGGGUAGGG
rnacentral:SRP_RNA from 1 species